GAUGAACGCUGGCGGUAUGCUUAACACAUGCAAGUCGAACGGACUCUUCGGAGUUAGUGGCGGACGGGUGAGUAACGCGUGAGAAUCUGGCUUUGGGUUCGGGACACCCACUGGAAACGGUGGCUAAUACCGGAUGUGCCGAGAGGUAAAAGAGAAAUUGCCUGAAGAUGAGCUCGCGUCUGAUUAGCUAGUUGGUGAGGUAAAGGCUCACCAAGGCAGCGAUCAGUAGCUGGUCUGAGAGGAUGACCAGCCACACUGGGACUGAGACACGGCCCAGACUCCUACGGGAGGAAGCAGUGGGGAAUUUUCCGCAAUGGGCGAAAGCCUGACGGAGCAAUACCGCGUGAGGGAAGAAGGCUCUUGGGUUGUAAACCUCUUUUCUUAGGGAAGAACAAAAUGACGGUACCUAAGGAAUCAGCAUCGGCUAACUCCGUG
rnacentral:rRNA from 1 species